AUGCCCAUCAUGCCGUGCUCGUUGCAUGCCAUACCGCCCCGUGGAUUUUGUCAGAGUUCCACUACGACCCGUGAACGCCUUGUGGAUUCACCAAGUACAUCUACCGCCGUUUUCGGAAUCACCAAGAACGCCAAGUUCCCCUCCAAACGUGAACGACUACACCCGGUGAUGGGACGAGUACCCCGACAACGUGUACCAUUAUGCCCAAGUUCCAUUACUGAAGGCCACGAGUACAACUACGUCCACAUUGCGUCGGGUACGACUACCGUCGCUUGGGUGCGACGAAACACCAAGUACCACGACGACCAUCGACAUGUACCCCUACACCGCACCGUAACGCCGAGUACCUCGUCGUGA
rnacentral:rRNA from 1 species